AGGAACCAGGCCAUGACUAGAAGCCGCAG
rnacentral:piRNA from 1 species